ACAGACAGACAGACAUGACGAAUCUAUAAGGGUUCCGUUUUUUGCCAUUUGGCUACGGAACCCUAAAAAAUGAUAUUAGAAACCUCAAUAUCAUUUUUGAAGACCUAUCCAUAGAUACCCCACACGUAUAGGUUUGAUGAAAAAAAAAUUGAGUUUCACGAUUUAUGACGUAUUAAAAAAAAACUACUUACUAGAUCUCGUUCAAACCAAUUUUCUGUGGAAGUUUACACGGUAAUGUACAUCAUAUAUUUUUUUAGUUUUAUCAUUCUGUUAUUUUAGAAGUUACAGGGGGGGGGGACACA